UACGGGGGGAGCAAGCGUUGUUCGGAUUUACUGGGCGUAAAGGGCGCGUAGGCGGCAAUUCAAGUCAUCUGUGAAAUCUCCGGGCUUAACUCGGAACGGUCAGAUGAUACUGCUUGCUAGAGUGCGGAAGGGCAAUCGGAAUUCUUGGUGUAGCGGUGAAAUGCGUAGAUAUCAAGAGGAACACCUGAGGUGAAGACGGGUUGCUGGGCCGACACUGACGCUGAGUGCGCGAAAGCCAGGGAGCAAACGGG
rnacentral:rRNA from 1 species